AGUGGCGGACGGGUGAGUAAUGUCUGGGAAACUGCCUGAUGGAGGGGGAUAACUACUGGAAACGGUAGCUAAUACCGCAUACCAUCGGAUGUGCCCAGAUGGGAUUAGCUAGUAGGUGGGGUAAAGGCUCACCUAGGCGACGAUCCCUAGCUGGUCUGAGAGGAUGACCAGUCACACUGGAACUGAGACACGGUCCAGAUGACGACGUGAGGCAGCAGGGGGGAAUAUUGCACAAUGGGCGAAGGCCUGAUGCAGCCAUGCAGCGUGUAGGAAGAAGGCCGUUGGGUUGUAAAGUACUUGCAGAGGGGAGGCGGUACCCGCAGAAGAAGCACAGGCUAACUCAGUGCCAGCAGCCGCGGUAAUUC
rnacentral:rRNA from 1 species